GUUUGAUCCUGGCUCAGGAUGAACGCUAGCGGGAGGCUUAACACAUGCAAGUCGAGGGGUACCCCGAUUUAUCGGGGGAGACCGGCGGACGGGUGCGUAACGCGUAUGCAACUUACCUUAUACAGGGGGAUAGCCCGUGGAAACGCGGAUUAACACCCCAUAGGACAAUUGAGCUGCAUGGUUUAAUUGUUAAAUCUGAGGAGGUAUAAGAUAGGCAUGCGUCUGAUUAGCUGGUUGGUAAGGUAACGGCUUACCAAGGCGACGAUCAGUAGGGGUUCUGAGAGGAUAAUCCCCCACACUGGUACUGAGACACGGACCAGACUCCUACGGGAGGCAGCAGUGAGGAAUAUUGGUCAAUGGGCGAGAGCCUGAACCAGCCAUUCCGCGUGAAGGAAGAAGGCCUUACGGGUUGUAAACUUCUUUUCUGUAAGAAGAAUAGCCCCGAUGUAUCGGGGUAUGACGGUAUUAUAGGAAUAAGCAUCGGCUAACUCCGUGCCAGCAGCCGCGGUAAUACGGAGGAUGCAAGCGUUAUCCGGAUUUAUUGGGUUUAAAGGGUGGGCAGGUGGUUAAAUAAGUCAGUGGUGAAAGUCUGGCGCUUAACGUUAGGAUUGCCAUUGAUACUGUAUAACUUGAGUAUGGGUGAGGUAGGCGGAAUGUGUAGUGUAGCGGUGAAAUGCAUAGAUAUUACACAGAACGCCGAUUGCGAAGGCAGCUUACUAAUCCAUUACUGACACUGAGGCACGAAAGCGUGGGGAUCAAACAGGAUUAGAUGCCCUGGUAGUCCACGCCGUAAACGAUGAUCACUCGCUGUUUGCGAUAUACAGUAAGCGGCUGAGCGAAAGCAAUAAGUGAUCCACCUGGGGAGUACGAUCGCAAGGUU
rnacentral:rRNA from 1 species